rnacentral:misc_RNA from 1 species
GAUGAAGAACGCAGCGAAAUGCGAUAAGUAAUGUGAAUUGCAGAAUUCAGUGAAUCAUCGAAUCUUUGAACGCACAUUGCGCCCGCCAGUAUUCUGGCGGGCAUGCCUGUUCGAGCGUCAUUACAACCCUCAGGCCCCCGGGCCUGGCGUUGGGGAUCGGCGGAGCCCCCCGUGGGCACACGCCGUCCCCCAAAUACAGUGGCGGUCCCGCCGCAGCUUCCAUCGCGUAGUAGCUAACACCUCGCGACUGGAGAGCGGCGCGGCCACGCCGUAAAACCCCCAACUCUUCUGAAGUUGACCUCGAAUCAGGUAGGAAUACCCGCUGAACUUAAGCAUAUCAAUAAGCGGAGGA